AUGGCCAAGGAUCUCGCCUUCGUCCUCCUCGUCCUUGCCGCGCUAGCCGCCUUCUCGUCGGCGACCAAGCUGACAAUCCACAACCUCUGCCCGCACCCCGUCUGGCCGCUCGUCACCCCCAACGCCGGCCUCCCCUCCAUCUCUGACAAUGCCGCGCGCCUCGACACCAACGCGAUUCUCUCCCUCACCUUCCCGUCCACCUUCUGGGCAGGUCGCGUCGCGGCCCGCACCGGCUGCGACGACGGCACGUCGCCACCGCGCGGGUGCUUCACGGGCGACGCGCCGCCGUCCACCGUCGCGCAGAUCACGGUCCACGACAGCGGGAACCUGGACCUCGCCGCGUACAGCGUCAGCCUCGUAAACGGGUUCAACGUGCCGAUGGUGUUGAGUCCGCAGGCAGGCGGUGGGCAGUGUCCGGCGCUCGGCUGCGCCGUGGACCUCAACUGCGACUGCCCUCCGGACAACCGGGCCGCCGAAGGCACCGCGUGCCGCGGGCCCGCGGGGUACUUCAAGAACCGUUGCCCGCUCACGAGGACGACGUCGACCGACGUGGAGCCCGUGCCGCAGAGCUGCUGCGCGCCCGGGGAGCUCAAGAUCGUCCUCUGCCAGUCGUCCAUGCUCCAGCGCGGCGCCUCGGCGGCGGAGGACACCGACAUGGUCAUCCGCACUGUCGUCGCCGACAACUAG
rnacentral:rRNA from 1 species